UACAACCAUAGCACAUUGAAACACUGGUUCUCGUAUGAUCACUGCAGUUAAGCAACGCUGAGUCUGGUCAGUACCAAGAUGGGUGACUGCUUGGGAAUACCAAGUGUUGUAAG